GCCAUCUUGAACGAGGGUCAUUUGUAGUGUACUGUUAGAUAGAGGCUCGUGACCAGAAAGCAUGCUACAGUUUGUUUUCUUCCUGUAUUGAACACAGAUAAUCCCGUCCCAUUGAGCAAUUCGGAACCGAUGUGUCUUUCUGGAUCAAACGCGCCAAAUAAAUGGACAUUGUGGAUAUAUAUUGACGGAAUUAAUCGAACAAAAGGACCAUUUGUGAUGUUUAUGGGACAUAUUGGAGUGCCAACAAAAGAAGCUCGUCAAAGGCCGGUGGCUCCUGGUCCCCUGGUUGAUGUUGUCCCCCACUCCACCCCUCUGCUUCCCUUGGAUAUCGAGGGGAGUCCUGCCUAUGCAGUCAGAUCACUCCUGGACUCCCGACAUCGUGGAGCUCCAUUUCCUGGGAGGGAUACAGCCCAGAGGAGCGGUGCUGGGUUCCGGUGGACAACAUUCUAGAUCUUAACAUUAUCCGAGAGUCCCACCUUCGCCUUCUGGACCGGCCCUCUCCACGUCCUUGGGACCGUCCUCCUGGCAAGUGUCGUCCUGCGGCUGGACCCGCGCGUACGAGGGGGGGGUACUCUCACGUCUGCUCCCGCUCUCCCACUCCGGUGUUCGACGUCACCAGUCUGCUAACCAACCCAUCAUUACACACACCUGGACUUCAUCACUUCCCUGAUUUCUCCCUCUUUAUCUACAACUGUAUUCAACCCCUCAAUCAGUAUUGGUUAUGUUUUCCUUGUCAGACGUUUCUCUUGCUUUUGCAAUCGUUCUCUGUUCAUGAAUAUUAAACUCACUAAUUGCAC
ensembl:lncRNA